CCUCCCCACCCAGGGUUGGCUGAACAGCGGGGGCGGGGCUAAGACGGCUCCAAGGCAGGCAGAGAAACCCUACAGCCCAACGGACGCGAGCAGGGCACUCGUUGAUAGGCUGGGUAAUCAACAACAAGCGUGAUUAUUGCAGCGGGGAGUGAAGGCACUAAGGAAGCCUGGAACCAAUUAAUUGCUCCUGUAGAGAAAACAGCCCAGGGCUGGGCUCUGCUGCUCCCUGGUGGAAGAUUUUUCGUGGAAAAUCUUGUGGGGAGGUCAGCUGCCACGUGAUAAGGAUGUGGGGAGAUGUCUGUGAAAAGGACCAGAAGGCUCUGACUUGCAGGCAAGCUUCUUUGUGAGAAAAGAUGAAAGACGGAUAGGAUUCUAAGACAAUGCAUUGCAGGCUUCCAGAGUUUUGUGUCCAGACCCGGAACAACGGACCAGUCCUCAAUCAAUGUGUGACAGAAGAGGACGAGAACAGGCUAUGAAACAAGCAGACCUGGUUUGAAUUCUAAUCCUAUUGGUUAAUUUUGGGCAAGUACCUAUUGUCUCAUAGACUUGUAAAGAGGUGUUACUCACAGGAUUAACUGAUAUAAUGUACAAAAAUGUGCUGUACAAAGCCUGGCACAUGUUAGCAUGCUUUCUACGUGUUGAUUCCGUAUGUUUGCAUUUGCUCUGUCCACAUAAUGUUUCACUGAUGGGCCAGUGGAACAGCAGUGCCAGCCUCAGUGUAACAGGGACCAUGGCCUCAGAGACCUGCCAGCCAGCACCUGGGACAGAGUGGAGGUUCUGAGUUGAUUCACUUUUGUCACACGUGCUUUCACCACAGAGGGCACUGACUCUGUCCCUACAAUUCUCUCCCUCUCGUCUGUCAAAAUAAUUUGUCAUGGUCCCACUUCUUGGUAGUCUUGCUAAGGAUUCUUCUUGUGCUUUAAGAGACUCAUAAAUAUGAAUUCUAUUCAGAGGUAGAGUCAAUGACCAAGACACAGAAUGGAACAUAUCUCUUGUAUGAAGAAAUAAUCAUAACUUGGCCCUGGAGGUGACCAACCAGGCAAGGGAGUGAAUUGUCACUCAAAUAAAAUGAUGUCAAAAGAACAAGCCAGAGGUCCUCUUAGGCUCUCUACCCUGGACAUUUAUGGAGCUAGCUGUUAGUGGUACCAUGCCCAGUUGGAAGAACUCUGGAAGGGAAAUAAUCCAUCAUUUAGUUUCUUAAAUGUAGAUGACCCAUGGGAGUCAGGGUAUUUUACCAGACUGCUCACUCAAUGUACUUGCUGAGUUUUCUGGGCCAUCUUGAGAUGGAAGUCUUUGGGUCCUACCACUUGGGGUUAUUCUUUUGAAUUAUAUAUAUAUAUCUGCCUGACUCUUCUUCCUCUCCCUCCCUCCUUCUUUCUCUUUCUCUCCCUCCCUCUCUCUUUCCCAUCUCUCUUUCUCUCUCCCUCGCUCUCUCUCUUGUGUGUGUGUGUUUGUAUGCAUAUGUUUGUAGGUGCCUGUGGAUGCCAUAAAAGGAUGCCUGAUCUCUUGGAGCUGGAGUUACAGUUGGUUGUGUGCCACCUGACAUGAUUUCAGGAAACUGAAUUCUAUUCCUCUGUCAGAGUCCCUCUUAGGUUUGUUUUGAGUUUUAUUUAGUUAGUGCUUUUAAUGAAAGUGUAUUUUUAUACCCAAUCCUCACAACAACUCCACACUGGAAAUACUAUUUCUCUUACUUUAUGAGUGAUUUUGACUCAGACACCUGGAAGUGAGUCUGUCUGACUUCAAGGAUUUCAUUCAUUACAGUGGUACAGUGGUGGGGAGCAAGGCAGUCUCAGAGCCUUUUAUUCUAGGAAUAACUGAAUUUAUCUUUGGGCUAGGUGGUCUCUGUUGUUGAGUGCAAGUGUUAUUUCUUCAUAGGAUGCUGUUGGUAACAAAGUACCUCUGAGGACUCUACCAGAAUUGCUUGUAUUCUGUUCCAAUUUGGGCUGUAGUCUUAAAAUAUAUUAUUAAUUUUAUCUACUAAACCCUAUUUCCUCUUGCUUUAAAUUUUUAAAUGGUUGCUGCAUAGUCCAUGAUGACCCCAAACUCUUGCUUUUUAAAGGGGAUUCUGUUACUCUAUCCAACCACAGUACCAUUGUUUUGGUGGGCUUUGCAUUGAAAUGCCUUUCAUAAAUAAUAGCACAGAUUUUUCUGGGUUUAAUAAAUUUUAGGUGAAACACAUUGGAUUUAGGUACAAUAUUAUGCCAGUGACCAUGUUCUUUAUGCUGUGUUAAGAAGUAUUUUAGGAGCUCUAAGGUUGCAUAUAAAUUUAAUUUGUUAUUUUUGAUCUUCAUGCAUAAAACUACUAAUGAACUGGUGUAGCAUCGGGGUUUGUCAGAAAUCAGUUUCUGACACAAACUGAAUAGUUUAGAAGAACAAUGUACAAAGGCACAGACAGGAUGGAGGAAAACCUUCAAGGGCUUUUAAUAGCAGGGAGACACUGUACCUCGCAGGCCUGAAUGAUCAAAGGGAGUAGGGGAUUAGUGGAAAUCAGAGAGCAUAACUAUAUUAAGAACAUUGCCCGACACGAGCUAUAGCCUUUAGUUAAGGAAUGCAGCCAACCCAUGGAGGCCUGGCAGGGAGGGAGCUGGAGGGACAGAUACUCCAACCUUCUAUUUUCCCAUCCUCCAAAUCUCCUGCUGGGGCUUCCCCUUGGCAGAACUCCUCCAGAAGGGAGAGGGCAAGGGAACCUGCAGAUGCAUCUCAUACAAGCCAGCUUCUAGAGGCACGGACUGAUGUAAGAAUGGUGGAGCAGCUGUGGGGUGGUGAUGAAGUGCAACGUUCAUUACAGCUGGAUGCAAGAUUACUAUUCUUCUAUACCAUUUGAGCUUAGGCCACACAAGUUUCUGGGAAUGGUCCGGCAAUAGAUCAGAUAACAAUUCUAGUUAUCCGUCUGGUCUUUGAAAAUCUGAACUGUGUUCUGACUCUGCUUCUUCCAGUUCCUUUGAAAUUUGUUAUCUUAAUGAUUUAAAACAACUUGGACAUGAUCUAGCUGCGUGCACCCCUAUUAUAAGAAGUAUAAAAAUAACUAUUCUCUCUGCUGGUGAUAUAAUUUUAUUGUCACUAACCAGAAAUGGACCUUUUAUCUUACUGGAAAAUAGAAUGGCUCAAAUUCAAAAUUUCUAAAUUCGAAAUCAUCAUUUUUUAGCAGUUAGCAUUUAUGAUUUAAUUGGCUAAUAUCUAGUAAUUAUAUCUGGUGAGCUAAUUUUUUCAGCUAUGUCUCAGUACAUUUUGCAAUCUUUUUAUCCCCCUCUAAUGUAGGAUCUCUAAAGUAGAUUUUUGGGGUGUGUGUGUAUUAUUGACAUAUGUCUAUUUUGGGGAAUAACCUGAGGAAUCAGUGAAAUCUAUUUCACAUUUUUAUUUAGCCACAAACCACACAGCAUACAUCCCUGUUCAGUAAAUGUUGGUCAAGUGAAGGAGUGAAAGAACGAUCUACGCAUCUUUGACUUUAUCUUUUCUUCACUCUUUAGAGGAAAUAGCUUUUAGGAAGCUGGCUGAAGGCAAACCCUAGACAGAAAGCCUCCACAUGAAAGAGGGCUGGCCAGCUGUUUGGGGUGUUUGUCUAGGAGACUCCAUUCCUCUUAAGGGAGGGAAACCUACUACUUGCUUGGUUGGGUCUUAAGAAGUGUGGACUAUCCCUCAUCAACAACAUGAAUUAUUCUUGUUCAGUCUUUAAAGUUAGAUAUUUCUCCUGCCUAGUACCUACUGAAGCUUAGUUAGAGCGGGAAAGCAAUUUGGAUUGACAGCUGAAGGAUGCAUUCUUGGUUCCUUCACUGUAAAUCUGCAUUGUCCAGGAGAACUUUUUUUUGGUGACGCAGAGAGAUGUUUCUUAUUUGUGGUGCCCAACAUGGUAGCACCAAGUGUGUGCAUCUACAAAGCAGCGGAAAUUGGCUGUUGAAACAGAAUGGGUUUUAGAACUUUUUUAUUAAGACAUCUUAAAAUUAAUUUAAAUUUGUUUCAGUUAAUUAUUGUAGCUAGUUAACUUUAAUUAACCUAAUGCCAAAUUACAAUUAAUUAAAUCUAAUUUAAGUUUAAAUAUCUAUGCCAGUAGAUACCAUAUUUGACAGCAUAACUCUAGAUAUUUUAUGUUUUAUCCCUAGAAGAUUAUGUUAGAAUAUCCCUUCAUUUGAUUUUCAAAAGAAUCACAUAUUGUUUUGAAAUUUAAAUUUUUAGGUUUUACUUUUAUCGACACAGGGUCUCACUGUGUAACCCAGGCUGGUUUUCUAUGCUGCUUUGACCUUCAUCGCAUGAGCGUCGUAGCCACGUGCUACCAUUGCUGUCAAGAAUAGCAUUUAUCGAUUUGCAAAUGCUUACUUUCUCAUUUAUGAGAGCUUUAAAACGUGUUCUCACACUCUUAGACAUUCCUCCACAGAGUGUCUGAAGAAUAAUUCUACUUCCCUUCAACAGAAGUUGGUCCUGGCUGUUUUGUUUCUAGCAAGUAACACAUGUGACAGAGGUGACAGUAUGGCUUGGGAGGUUAACUCAGAAAGAACGAGGAAGCUUCCCUGGCACAUGCCUCUCCUCCCCCUCUCCGCCCAAGCUAAGCGCCCUUAUGAGAAUCCUGGCUUUUCUGAGGCUAUCAAGGCUACGCAGUUAUUUAGAGAGAUCACUCAGUGGUACCGGGGUAGGAAGACUAACUUGCAGCCUCUAGAUGUUUUAGCUUUCUCAAGUCAGGCUUCAAGUUAUUUUAGGCAUAGCCACUAUCUGAUUGUAGCUUCCCAACAGACUCCGAGAGAGAGAACUGCUUAGCUGAGCCCGGUUAAUCUCCAGUGAGGUGAUAUAAAAUACUUGCUAUUACUUUGUGCCACCGUUUUGAGCAACACCGUUGUAAAGCAACAGCCAGAGUGAUCCUGUGUGAAAGAACUGUGCAGGAGACGGACCUGUGACGCCCAGGAAUGCUCAUCAUCGUUUGGUCUGUGGUUUUUAUUUUUUGAGAAAAGGUCUUGCUAUGUAGUCUUGGCAGUCCUAGUACUCACUAUACAGUCCUGACUGGCCCUGAACUUGAAGCAAUUCUACUCCAGCCUCCCGAGUGUUGGCUUUCUAGGCCUGGGCUACCACCCCUAGGUUCCGUGGAUAGCUUCGAAGGUCAAGUGCAUCACAUCAACUUACCUUGGAUAUCAGGAAGUGCUGAUCACCUCACAUUGUUUUAAAAACUGAAUUACAAUUUUUAUUUUUGUGAUGGUCUUGCCAUCUUUCCUAAGUUAGUCUGGAAGUCCUGCUUCUGGUGUCCUUUCCUAAUCUCCUUAAUGCUGACAUUACAGACGUGAGCUACCUACCACUCAGUGUUCUUUUGUGUUAAUACCUUUUCUGUGUAGCUGUUUGCAAGCCCAGGGCCGAAUGAAUCAGCCAGUUUUGUAAGAAAAUAAGAUGAAAAAAAACCAAAAAAAACAAAAAACAAAACAAAACAAAACAAAACACCUCAUCUGCGUGGUUCCUCUUUCUUAUCUUAUUCUCCCUUUGGCAUUCUUUAAAACAGAAGCCUCACCUCAGUGGGUAAGUGUUAAUCCACACUGGAGGAUGAAGACCAGUCAUGUGUGUGUGGGUCUUUAUUAAGCCAGUAUGUGGUGUGAGGUCAUCGAGUGAGCUAGCUAUGGAGCUGGGAGACUCUCCAGUGGCCUUUUCCAUAAGAGGAGAUCUUCAAAGUGACUCUCCAGGUGAACAGAGGUAGUGAGAGCAGCAAGAUCUCAGGCCUGGUAAAGUUCAUGCCGGCGCCUCUCAGUGUGAUUCUCCAGUAGGGGGCAGCUCUGAGCCUAGUCAUUUGAGGAUGGGAUGGAAGCAGAGAGACUAAUAAGGUCCAGCUGAGGGAUGGACCUUUCAGGUUAUUAGUGGUGCAAUAGUAGGAGUGUUUAAACAAAGGGCAAUGUAUAUCAUAAAACAGGUUCAAGUUAAGCUUUGCGAUUUCUUUUUCCCUUGGCAAUGAGAGAUCACUUACUGCUGGGGGAAUCCUGUAGGCUUUGGAUGAUACGUCAGUGGCUCAUGGCUAAGCACAGAGGAGGAGAAAGCUCUGGAAGAUGUUCCACAGCACUGCACCAGCACUGUGCAGGAAACAUCUAAGGAGCUCGCUGGCACACUCAGUGUCUUGUUGGGCAGCCUUUCCUACCGCUUCUUUACGACCACAGAAAGCUGCUGUCCUGUGGAAUGGCAAUGAUUUCCUCCCUGCGUGCAACUCAAGAAGUCGGACAAGGCCACAUACCUGAAGCAAUGCAUUCUGUGUUUGGAGAUCUCUCUCACAGAGACCACCUAGAGAGGUUCUGGGUUUGCUUGAGGGACAGCUAGCACUGGACCAUGCCUCUGCUAAGUCUGAAUGAUCAUAAAACACACCCUAUAGGAACAGAGGCAGAGAUAAGCAAAUCUCGGAGGGACUGAGCAACAACUCAAGGAUGUAUCAGUCAGACAGCCAAGGUCACGGUGAACAGAAUGGAACACCAAGCAAAUAGUCUCAGAUAAACCAGUGCGGUAAUUGGAAGUGUUUGUGGUGAUGGGAAAGAGGACUCUGGAGGGCUCCAGGGUGAGAUAAGGCAAGCAAUCAACGUGUCAUAGUAAUUUGUUAGCUGCCUAGGCUUCGGGUCGAGGUGUAUAAACCUGCCUGAUGUGAUGUAUGAAGCCUGCUAACCCUAGGAGAGUUGACCCUAGAAGGAAAAGAGCGAAGUGGAGGCUGCUGGGAACUGACAAGGGAGUCACCUGCACCUACAAAUGUGACUUCGACUACAAACCACCUAUGUCAAGACUCGAUGAGCACAGACAAGUAUUUGGCACCUUUCCUUGAUCUUAAUCACCAGUUCAUAUGCUCUUUAAAAGCUGUAAAAUGGGUAUAAAGUUUCUUCAACUAUAUAGGCCCAAAGGCAUUGACCUUCUAAAGCCAUGAGUGCUGCACAACCCUCAUAUCACAGACACCUUGCUAGCUAUGUGCACUUUCUUUGACCCUGCGUGUGAGGUAUGCACAGUACAGACCAGCUGUGCACCACCCUCUUCAUCCCACUGAUGAGUACAUCCUACCUGCACAGAUUAUACCCCCACCACACUGCUAACCUCACAUCCGAUGUGUGCAUUUCCUUUCCUACUAGGAUCACACCAGUAGCACCUUCGCCAUUGCGGGGAUUUUACUAUUGAACUCAGCUGAGAUCGCCUGGCCCAGCUCGCCAACUUCAUAAGGAUCAUAUGUUGCUGUGGCUGCACCCGAUUUUUUGCUCACUCAACACCUACUUUUUCAUUUUUUUUUCCAGAAACAAACUGUGAUUUUAUUUAAUAGUGUGAUUUAUACAGCUAAGAGGGGACUUGUUAUUCCUAACCUCCUGCACAGCUAGCUUUGGUUAUGUGAUUUAACUAGAAGGCAUUGGCUAAGACUUCAGGGAAGUCUCCUGGAAAGGGAACAGAGGCCCAAUCCUUUGGCUUCGUCUCACCUCUGCUUUCCAGUUUGAAAACACAUAAGACGGACAGAUCUUAUCAUUUAGCCUGACUUUGAGAAUAGAAAUCACCUAAUGAGAAUGAAUGGCUGCUUCAUGAGUUAGAUGGAGUCUGGGUCUUUUGUAAUUAGGUGGAGCUUCAGCAUCUCUCUUUCUGGAUCUCCUGAGGAUGUGUUUAAAUGACUCUUUCUGUGAGACCUUGUGACUCAAGGUCAUCCUGGACUUGGAGUUAGAGAUGAGUCACCUGAGUGCAUCAAAGUCACUGCUUAUGGAUCCCUUUAGAUUGUCCCUUUCCACAGUUAUUUCCCUAACAACUAAACCACACCAGCUUUUUAAAAAAGCACAGCUUUAGUAUGCUGCUCAGGUUAGCAUCUAACUCAUGAGCUUUCUGGUUCAGUCCCCAAGUGCUGGGAUUACAGGUAAGUUCCCAUGGCCGGCCAACUUGGCUCCUCAGUGAUGGGUUUCAUACCUUCUUCCACUCCUGUGGUGCUGUUUCUGUCCACCCUGCCUGUUGUGGUCCAGAUAGGAUGCUCAUCCUUUUUUUAUGUUAACAUAAUGGAGCAAAGACACUGUUGUUUCAAGUCUCUGUUCCUGUCUGCCCCAUGCUGUCCCCAGUUGUCAGGGAUGGGUCACUUAGCUCACUCAAGCCUCAGUUUCCUUAUUUGUAAAAUAAAGGCAACACCACACCCCGAGGAGGCCCUGAAACUCACUUCGAUUCCCAACUGGAGAGUGGUAGUGCCCUGGCCUGAGCUUUAAAGCUCCUGCCUCCCUCUGUACCUAAACCCCACAGCUCAUCGUCAGAACCUGAUUAGGUAAUGCACUGAGAGGCAUUUUCCACUCUGAGAAGUGGCAUGAAGAUCUUUGUGAUCAUUGCUGGGAUUUACGCUCCCUAACAAUCUGAGCGACAAAGUGAGGCCUCAGCUCUUAGAGAAAAUUACUUGCUUUCGCUGUUUCAUUUUCCCCCCCACAAACCUCAGGGGAGUGGCUCUUAGGCUUUGUAAAGAGUCAACUGAUACUUAUGAGGUUUUACACCAAACGGAGGAAGCUUCUGUUGGCCUUUCUUUUGUCUGAGUCUUCCCCAGUCUCAUGGUGAGCUAGAGUAAGUGGCUUUCCUUUGCCACCAGGGACCAUAGUAAUACAGCAAUAACAUCAUCCCCUUUAGGCUCUCUCUCUCUCUCUCUCUGAAUUAUUCUCUGCUCCUGUUUUUGGCUACCCAGGCACUUCAAAGCUAGCCUCAGACACAGUUCGUUUCCAUGUAUACAUGCAGAUGUGUGCACAUAUCUAUGGGGGCUAGAGGUCAGCUUUCCCUGUCAUUCCUCAACAUUUAGCCACUUUCCCAAAAAACUUAUUGGGGCUUAGAGGAUAACAGCACCAACUCCUCUCCCAAAGGACCUGAGUGUGAUUCUCAGCAACCACAUGGUGGCUUACAGCCACCUAUAACUCUGCUCUCAGUGGAUUCAGUGCGUUUUUCUGGCUCUCAUGGACACCAGGCAUGCAGGUGGUGCACAUAAAGACAAAACACCUGUACACAUUAAAUAAAUAAAUAAGGAAAUAAAAUGUAUAUUUAAAUUAAGUUUUCAAAAGGUGUUGGUGCACCCGUGUGUAUGUACAUGUGUUUGUGUGUGCAUGUGCUCUUACACACGUGCACCUAUGUGCAGGUACUCUUGGAGGCUGGAGAGAAUUUCGAAUCCCCUAGAAUUGGAGUUACAGGUAGGAUGUCCAGUGUGGAUAUUGGGUCUUGAACUUGAGUCCUCUGCCAGAUCAGAAUGAGCCCUUAACCUAUUAUUAGCCUCCAAUCUCAGUUGUUGUUGUUGCUUCAGGCUCCCCAGCAAUGAGCUAUAGUCACGCACUGA